rnacentral:rRNA from 1 species
CCUACGGGUGGCAGCAGUGAGGAAUAUUGGUCAAUGGCCGAGAGGCUGAACCAGCCAAGUCGCGUGAGGGAAGACGGCCCUACGGGUUGUAAACCUCUUUUGUCGGGGAGCAAAGCGAACCACGUGUGGUUCAUUGAGAGUACCCGAAUAAAAAGCAUCGGCUAAAUCCGUGCAAGCAGCCGCGGUAAUACGGAGGAUGCGAGCGUUAGCCGGGUUUAUUGGGGUUAAAGGGUGCGAAGGCGGAGGUGCAAGUCAGCGGUCAAGUUGCGGGGCUCAACCCCGUACUGCCGUUGAAACUGCAUCCCUUGAGUGCGCGAGAAGUAUGCGGAAUGCGUGGUGUAGCGGUGAAAUGCAUAGAUAUCACGCAGAACUCCGAUUGCGAAGGCAGCAUACCGGCGCGCAACUGACGCUCAUGCACGAAAGCGUGGGUAUCGAACAGGAUUAGAUACCCGAGUAGUC